rnacentral:rRNA from 1 species
CAUGCAAGUCGAACGAGGAUGUAUCCUUCGGGAUAUAAGCCGAGUGGCAUAAGGGUGAGCAAUGCAUAGAUUACCUACCUUUAGGAUAAGGACAACUUUGUGAAAACGGAGCUAAUACUUAAUAAUACAAAGGAAAAUAAUUUUCUUUUGUCAAAGGGAGGGUAGCAAUACCUUUCGCCUAGAGAGGGGUUUAUGUCCUAUCAGCUUGUUGGUGGGGUAAUAGCCUACCAAGGCGAAGACGGGUAGCCGGUUUAAGAGGAUGGUCGGCCACACUGGGACUGAGACACUGCCCAGACUUCUACGGAAGGCUGCAGUCGAGAAUCUUUCGCAAUGCCCGAAAGGGUGACGAAGCGACGCCGCGUGGGUGAAGAAGGCCUUCGGGUUGUAAAACCCUGUCAGGAGUUAUGAAAUGUAAGUGCGCUAAUAUCGUGCUUAUUUGACAAAGGCUCCAAAGGAAGCCACGGCUAACUCUGUGCCAGCAGCCGCGGUAAUACAGAGGUGGCGAGCGUUGUUCGGAAUUAUUGGGCGUAAAGAGCACGUAGGUGGGUUUGCAAGUCAGAUGUGAAAGCCUUCUGUUCAACGGGAGAAUUGCAUCUGAAACUGCUAAUCUUGAGUGUAGGAGGGGAGAAUGGAACUUCUGGUGGAGCGGUGAAAUGCGUAGAUAUCAGAAGGAACGCCGGCGGCGAAAGCGAUUCUCUGGCCUAUUACUGACACUCAGUGUGCGAAAGCUAGGGGAGCAAACGGGAUUAGAUACCCCGGUAGUCCUAGCCGUAAACGAUGGGCACUAAGUAGAGGGGAUUACCUAUGUUCUCUCUGCCGUAGCUAACGCAUUAAGUGCCCCGCCUGGGGAGUACGGCCGCAAGGCUAAAACUCAAAAGAAUUGACGGGGGCUCGCACAAGCGGUGGAGCAUGUGGCUUAAUUCGAUGCAACGCGAAAAACCUUACCGGGGCUUGACAUGAUAGAAGUAGGAACCUGAAAGGGGGACGAACGGUAUCCAGUCCGUAGCUAUUACAGGUGUUGCAUGGCUGUCGUCAGCUCGUGUCGUGAGACGUUGGGUUAAGUCCCCUAACGAGCGAAACCCUUGUUUUUAGUUACCAGCGGGUUAUGCCGGGUACUCUAGAAAGACUGCCGUCGUCAAGACGGAGGAAGGUGGGGAUGACGUCAAGUCAUCAUGGCCCUUAUGCCCCGGGCUGCACACGUGCUACAAUGGUCGGUACAGACGGAAGCGAAGCCGAGAGGUGAAGCGAAUCCUAAAAAGCCGAUCUCAGUUCGGAUUGGAGGCUGAAAUUCGCCUCCAUGAAGUUGGAAUCGCUAGUAAUCCCGGAUCAGCAAUGUCGCGGUGAAUAUGUUCCCGAGCCUUGUACACACCGCCCGUCAAGCCACCCAAGCAGGAUACACCCGAAAACAUUAUAUCUAACCAGGGCAACUUGGAGGAAAAUGUUGAAGGAGUGUUUUGUGAGGAGGACUAAGUCGUAACAAGGUAGUCGUAGGAGAACCUGCGGCUGGAUCACCUCCUUUCU